AGUAUCUGGCUCUGGCCUGGUGCUUGCU
rnacentral:SRP_RNA from 1 species